CCCCAUCAUCGAUGACUUGCACAUCCCAACACACAUCACCAUACCAGCUGUCCCACUGGGCCAAAGUGUCAGCCAUGUGAUCCCUCUGAGCUGCAGCUGUCCCAUUGACUUUGAGUUCCAGGUGUACAUCAUCCAGCCACACAAGGCCUUCUCGGUCCAGCCCCUGUCAGGAGUGAUUCCAGCCAAUGGGAAGGUGGAGGUGACCGUCCCAUUCAGGCCGUUCCAGUAUGACACGUCCCAGGUCACUCUACAAGUGGUCAUCUCCCAGUUCAAUUCCAAACCCUACGUCUGCACCCUCAGCGGGUCCUCCUCGCCCCACCUGCCUCUCAGGUAUCUCAGAUCCAUUUUGAAAUGUUACAGGUUAAUUCAUCAAACAUUAUAUUGAAUUAUGUCACUUUUACCAGGUCAUAGUUACAAUGACAAGACUGGUAUAUAUAUAUGGUCAGCAAAGUUCCUGUUUUCUUGGUUUGUAUCACGUUAUUGCUUGUUAUUUGGUGUCAUUGUGAGUUCCAUCAAUUAAUGCACUGAGCCAAAUAUAUUUAUUUUACUGAUAAGAAUGGAAACGUGAUUGUUAAGUGGUUACGCACAUUUCAUAGAGCAACUGCUGAGAGAGAGACCAAGUGCUGCACAUGUACUGUAUUGAAACUCUCCAUCUGCAAACUUUGAAAAUGGAAAUUGUACAAAUAUUUAGAGAGAUAAAAAUGAACCCUUGCAGUGAAGAACCAUACAAGUGCAUACUGUUCCAUUUUCUUAUAAUCAAAUAUUUAUCUGUUUUUAAGUGUGUAUAUACCACAUUAGGAUUUUUACGGUU